UCCUUAACUGACGCUAAUGCUCGAAAGUGCGGGUAUCGAACAGGAUUAGAUACCCUGGUAGUCCGCACGGUAAACGAUGGAUGCCCGCUGUUGGCGAUACAGUGUCAGCGGCCAAGCGAAAGCGUUAAGCAUCCCACCUGGGGAGUACGCCGGCAACGGUGAAACUCAAAGGAAUUGACGGGGGCCCGCACAAGCGGAGGAACAUGUGGUUUAAUUCGAUGAUACGCGAGGAACCUUACCCGGGCUUGAACUGCAGGAGAACGAUUCAGAGAUGAUGAGGUCCUUCGGGACUCCUGUGGAGGUGCUGCAUGGUUGUCGUCAGCUCGUGCCGUGAGGUGUCGGCUUAAGUGCCAUAACGAGCGCAACCCCUUUCUUCAGUUGCCAUCAGGUUAUGCUGGGCACUCUGGAGACACUGCCACCGUAAGGUGUGAGGAAGGUGGGGAUGACGUCAAAUCAGCACGGCCCUUACGUCCGGGGCUACACACGUGUUACAAUGGGUGGUACAGAGAGCGGGCUGCCUGCAAAGUUAGCCGAAUCAUGAAAGCCAUCCUCAGUUCGGAUUGGGGUCUGCAACCCGACCCCAUGAAGCUGGAUCGCUAG
rnacentral:rRNA from 1 species